GUUCUAAUUUUUAGGUUACGACGUUUAUCUUAUUCGCGUAACAGGUACUUCUUUCGCGUGUCUAUGCACCUUGUAAAACAUAACUGUACUUUCAUAUCGUGAAUUAUGAAUUUAGGAUAUGGAAAAUCAAGACAGAUGCGUAUCUAUGGAAUUUCAUUACAUCGAAUAAGUAGCCCAACCCAUAAAUAAAUCAGGCAAACGGGGAGAAUGACUAACGCAAGAUUACGCGACCCAUCGACCACUUUCGGCCCACGCUAUUUUAUCACAUUUUUAAUCCGAUCUUCGUACAUAUAAGGUUGUGACGAUCACGAUAUUUGCAAGACGAUAUGAAUUAAUAUUUUAAUCACUCGUUGCAAUAAUUAUGUAAUUAUAAUUAAUUUGCCUACUCUUUGUUUUAUCUAUUUAUAAAUAAAUAAUAUAUUAAUUUA